UAUCAGUUCUCUAGAUGUUACAAGUUUACAGUAAAUAUAUGCAGCGCUACCACUAAAGCCUUCAGCCCUGCAAUUUGGAAAAGGUGGAAAGAGAAAGGUUAAUUUAGAUGUGUGAUGUCCUGAUAGUCUCAGAGGCAGUGUUGAAACUGAAGGAGCAUUACAUUAAUCAUCAAAGACACUUGGUCUCUGUGGCAAAAGAUAGCACAUGACCAAACAGAAUUGCACCUUGAAUGAUAAGAACUGUCCUUACUGACAUGUAAGAUCCUUUCCCAUCCAUAUCUGUCAAUUGCUAAGUUGUUAAAAGCAUGUACUUGGUGCUGAUUAAUUC